UUGAACUUCUACUGUGUUCUGUUUGUAAACAAAACACAAUACGUUGAUUAUAAACAAGUUGCAAUGCGACACGGCCAUUUGCAUUACAACCAUCUCUUCGAUGGAAGCAAGCUCGAUCUCGUUGAUUUUUAUUUUGUUCCGUCGAGUUUGUUCGCGCAGAAAAAGCAAACAUGGACGGACAGGGAAGCAGAUUUUGUAGGAAGUGGAAAUAUAAUCCCGAUUGAAGCAUUUUCACAUUCUUCGUUUGUAUCCGGUUCCAUGAAGAGUGUUGUUUUUAUUUGGCACUAGAGCUUGUAGGAAUAUUUGAAACAAGCACCCAAUGAACGAUUUGAGGAAAGCGCGGGAAGUAAAUACACUUAUGAAGUAGCUAAUGCAAUUACCACGCAGACAAUAUUAUUCAUCGCGCUUUCCCCGAAUUUUCUUCCAUCUGUGUGUGGAAAGUGGGUAUCGUUCGCACAUCAAUUGCAAUUUGUCCCUGUUCGUUCUGUACAGAGCCGUACGAGAUAUGUGUCCGUCAACUUCUACGGUUUCCAAGCUCAAAUUUUCCAAGUCACUCGAAAUGAGUAUUGCUAUGUGAUUUCGGUCAAAUAUCUAAAUGUAAUUGACCUCGAUUGGAUGAAUGCAUUCGAUCUUUGGUUAACCCUCUUGUACUCGCGCGCAAAAUCAUAACUCGUAUUCUAUCGCAAGGUGUCACAGAAUAAAAGUUGAACUUCUCUGUAA